rnacentral:rRNA from 1 species
AGAGUUUGAUCCUGGCUCAGGAUGAACGCUGGCGGCGUGCUUAACACAUGCAAGUCGAACGAUGAUCCCAGCUUGCUGGGGGAUUAGUGGCGAACGGGUGAGUAACACGUGAGUAACCUGCCCUUAACUCUGGGAUAAGCCUGGGAAACUGGGUCUAAUACCGGAUAUGACUCCUCAUCGCAUGGUGGGGGGUGGAAAGCUUUAUUGUGGUUUUGGAUGGACUCGCGGCCUAUCAGCUUGUUGGUGAGGUAAUGGCUCACCAAGGCGACGACGGGUAGCCGGCCUGAGAGGGUGACCGGCCACACUGGGACUGAGACACGGCCCAGACUCCUACGGGAGGCAGCAGUGGGGAAUAUUGCACAAUGGGCGAAAGCCUGAUGCAGCGACGCCGCGUGAGGGAUGACGGCCUUCGGGUUGUAAACCUCUUUCAGUAGGGAAGAAGCGAAAGUGACGGUACCUGCAGAAGAAGCGCCGGCUAACUACGUGCCAGCAGCCGCGGUAAUACGUAGGGCGCAAGCGUUAUCCGGAAUUAUUGGGCGUAAAGAGCUCGUAGGCGGUUUGUCGCGUCUGCCGUGAAAGUCCGGGGCUCAACUCCGGAUCUGCGGUGGGUACGGGCAGACUAGAGUGAUGUAGGGGAGACUGGAAUUCCUGGUGUAGCGGUGAAAUGCGCAGAUAUCAGGAGGAACACCGAUGGCGAAGGCAGGUCUCUGGGCAUUAACUGACGCUGAGGAGCGAAAGCAUGGGGAGCGAACAGGAUUAGAUACCCCUGUAGUCC